CCACAACAUUGCCACAAAUAUAAAUAUAAUAAGUUCAUAGAAUAUCACUAUAGAGCAUGAUGUGCAGGUCGUCCUAGUUACAUCAUUCGGCUACAAGCACAUCAGAACUAAAUUGUAAAAAAAAACAUGCAUUUAAUCAAACGCAUCAAGUGUAGGUUGCUGCAUAAUCAGUUCUGUCACAACUCUUUCUUGCAGGUUGCUGCAUAAUCAGUUCCUGUCACAACUCUUUCUUUUGCCUUUGUGUGCUACUCUCUGACAGCCAUUGCAACAUGGAAAACAAAAGCAAAUACUGGAGUGUCAAUGUCAAUAAAAAAAAUGCAUUGUUCAUCACAUAGUUUUCACUACCUUGCUCAUGUCUUAAAGACAACUAGUAGCAGGCGCGUGCCCUCGCGCGCGUUAUCAGUUCAUAAUGCUGAAUUAUGAACAAUCUCAUACAAUUUAUUAGGAUAGAAAUUAGUUAUAAGUUUAGUAAUCAAUGCAUAGACAUGCAUGAAUCUGUAUAUAUUAUAAGGUUUAUUAUUUCGAAUAUUACAUGCUAUUCAUUGGUUGCAUAACUUUACAUAAAAGGUUACAGGUUGCACAGAUAGCAUAUGGUCUGGUGACAACACAUCUACGACUUAAGGUGCCAGUGAUUAUGUUUGCAAGCAAAGUAAAAAAAACUAAAGGAUGUAAGAUUAAUGUCAAUAUAAUAAAGGGAUGCCAACUAAUAAAGAUGGAAUUAAUUUGUCCACACAACUAAGAUCACUCAAAUCAUAAAACUGAUAUCCACGUGUAUUGAAAUCACAUCAAUAACCUAGAGAAGGAAGAUACAAUAUGGCACUCAAAAUCUAGAAACUUGAAAUCCAUGAAUAUGGAGGUGAUAUCCAUGGAUAUGCAUUGUAACUAAAACUUCUGAAUUUUGAACCAAAGCAAAAAUAGUAGGAAGAAGUGUAAAUAGUAGGAAGAAAAAAACAUCAUAGAAAUCUGAAAUGCUAGUUAGGAGUCUAUAUUUUAAUAUAAACAAUUAGCCUUCCCUUAAUCACUAAAACAGCCGUAUAGUAGGAAGAAGUGUAAAUAGUAGGAAGAAAAAAAACAUUUCAUAGAAAUCUGAAAUGUUAGCUAGGAGUCUCUAUUUUAAUAUAAACAAUUAGCCUUCCCUUAAUCACUAAUUCAAAAGGCUGGUUACUCUAAACUGGCCUCUGAAAACAUGGUCAAUGAAGAAUAUGUGGUUACUCUAAGUGAGAUUUUCCCAAUAAAAUGUUUGCAGAGGAAUCGAAAGUACCAAGAUAACCUUUUAGGCCAUCUACAUUUUAUCAGGAUCGACAUGACCAAAAAGGUGUAACCUUUUAGGCACUAUAAAUUGAUCCUUAAUAGUUUAAUUGGUCAAAAAAUAUAGGUUGCACAUAUUUGAUCAGAUAGUGGGGCUACCAACUUUGUAAAAUCUUCAAACACAUACCCCCAAAAAAAUCUAAACACAUGUUUGGUUGCCUGACCUUCAUCUGUGACAUAGUGGCAUGUGAAUUAUAGGUACGUUAUGAAAUAAUCCAACUAUCAAUUGAUCAAGGGGGAAUAUCAAUCACCUCGGAUUAGAAGACGUAUAAGGAGAAAUCUAGUUGAGGGCCUGCGGCUCUGGCCAUUCCAGCAACUGGACACUUGGUAACCUUCAAAACAUGAAAGGAAAACAUAGUACACGCUUGGUAACUUUUAGCACAAAUUAGAAUGGGAACAUGCAGUGUACUGAUUCAGCUGCCAAAUCUAAACUCAGCGCACUGAUGAACUGUUUUUAGGAACAAGAAGAUUCAACUGGGACGAGAUUUAUGGGGAACAAGCGGAUCCCAUGGGUGAACCAACGGAUCCAACCAUGGAGACCCCAGAUCGACCCAGGAAAGAACGGCAACAAGCACAUACCGACGGUCGAGUUCUGCAUCGGCAAGAUAAGGAGAGGAGGAGCAAGGGAGAGAGGCCGCAUAGUCACCGUACUGGGAUUUGGCCUGUCCGACAUGGUACCUAAGGUUUCGCUUGGACGCUGCGCCGCGGCCUUGCGCCUGCCGCUGCAGCCUCACGCCCGCUAUCAUCGCGGGGGGCAGGGGAGAGAGGAGGAGGUGGUGGUGGAGGAGGAGGAGGGCGGCUGUGGUGCGCCACUCGCUCCCGUCAUCGUCGUCGACUCGUCGUCGUCCUUCGGGAGGAGGGAGGGAGCGAAGAGAGAGGAGGAGGAGAGUUGGGGAAAGGAGGCCGGCGAGAGAGAGAGAGAGAGAGACUGGGAGAGUGUGGAGGAAGCUAGGGUUUGGAGAUUGAUAUUUAUUGAUGUUAGCAUUGUUCUCCACCGUCUGAUCAGAUCGGUUGGCUGUGAACUAUUGGGCCCAUUCGUGGGCCUUUGGAUUUUCACUCUCAAAUGCAUAUUUGGGCCUUUGCAUUUAUCGACUGUAUCAUU
rnacentral:lncRNA from 1 species